GUAAGCAUAUAACAUGGAUUGGGACGGAGGGAGUUCACGAAAACGUGAUUCUUAGAUGAAAACGUGAAAAAGGUCAUACAUUUCUUCCUGAAGGAGGAACUAGAGCUACAACUGAUAUAUAAUCGUGUAGGACCUUAAUGUUUUCAACGUCAGAAAGGAUCAACAUGUUACAUGUGGUUUACUUGCUGAAACAUGACCUGAAGCAAAA
rnacentral:misc_RNA from 1 species